GUUUUUUUUUUUCCAAAAAGUGAGAUUUUCUAAUGAAAGUGAAAGAAUAAAGUUUUGAAUACGGAACGAACGGUUCCUUCAACCGUUGAAUGAGAGGAGAAAACCGGAAGGGGAGAAUGAAGGGGUUGAGGCUAAUUAUCUAUUGUUGGGAAGCAUUAAGACCAUGAGAAGGUUGGUUCUGAGGCGUUGUACCUUAGUUAAUGAGGGAAGAUAGAGUUACUGUGUAGUCUUACAUGGCGUGCUAGUCAUGGCUUCUCAUCAUACGUUUAAGAAGUCAGUUUAUAAGGUUGUUACUUCUUAACGCCUCAACCUCAAUUAAGCAAGGAAGAGAGAGCAUAAGAAUUGAAGAAUUAAGACAGAAAAAGGAAGCCCUAAAGAUUGUCUUUUGAAUUGAAGUUGUUGGGUGAGUGAGGUAAAGAAAGGAAGGAGAACUUCACACGUCUAAGUGUCCCUCCUCAAGGAAGCAAUUGAAGCGAUGAAAAAGGGAAAGGAAGAUCUUGAGAGAUGUCCUCGAGAUGGAUUUUAGACGAGAAAAGGGAAAGAGGCCUAGAUUGGAGUCUUACACCAUAGCUCGAAAGACUGCAACUUGGUGGAAAGAAGAAGGCAGUGAAAUGAUCAAAGUUGGUUUAUUUUACAAAAAGCAAAAGUUGUAAAUUGUAUUUUGUACUUCUGUAAGCAUAAAGUUAAUAAAGAGAAGAAGUUAAGUUAUUUUGCUGUGUUUUUGUAUUUCAUUGAGUUGUUUUUCCAUUACAAAAGUUGUGAAGGUUUCUAAGACUCAAUCGAAGAGUUUUACAAAGAGACAAGGAGAAGAGUUGUUCCACUCA